GUAGGUGAACCUGCGGAAGGAUCAUUACCAAAAAUCCCAAUCAUACCAACCAACCGUGUGAACUGUAUUGUACCUUUGGGGAGCGUUGAAGGAGGAAUUAAACGCCAAAAUCGGCAAGCCACUCCUUCAACCUCGAGGUUUAAGGAAAGGACAGUCGGGGAGGGGGAGAGAGGGGAAAGAGAGAUGUUGUUGGCUCUCACUCUUUUGAGUGAUUGCUCUCUUCAUCUCACUCUCUCACUCACUCACUCUU
rnacentral:misc_RNA from 1 species